CGGAUUGCAGGCUGCAACCCGCCUGCAUGAAGCCGGAAUCGCUAGUAAUCGCGGAUCAGAAUGCCGCGGUGAAUACGUUCCCGGGUCUUGUACACACCGCCCGUCACACCAUGGGAGCCGGGAAUGCCCGAAGUCAGUGGCCCAACCGCAAGGGGGGAGCUGCCGAAGGCAGGCCUGGUGACUGGGGUGAAGUCGUAACAAGGUAGC
rnacentral:rRNA from 1 species